UGGGCGUAAAGCGCAUGCAGGUGGUUUGUUAAGUCAGAUGUGAAAGCCCCGGGGCUCAACCUCGGAAUUGCAUUUGAAACUGGCAAACUAGAGUACUGUAGAGGGGGUAGAAUUUCAGGUGUAGCGGUGAAAUGCGUAGAGAUCUGAAGGAAUACCGGUGGCGAAGGCGGCCCCCUGGACAGAUACUGACACUCACGAUGCGAAAGCGUGGGGACGCAAACAGGAUUAGAUACCCUGGUAG
rnacentral:rRNA from 1 species